CCGGCAGAUCUUGGAAUAAGAACGUUGUGGAAUAUAUAUUCGUUAAUGGCUAUGAAUCUCUCAAUUUCGUUGGAAUUAUGGAGUAAAGGAAAAAGUCCUCUACUCGAUUCAUGGCCAUUGUACGGGGACCCUACAACUGUUACGUUGAUUUUAAUUGCAUAUAUCGCCUUCGUAUUCUAUAUAGGACCAAAGGUUAUGAAGAAAAGGGAACCGUUCAAUUUAAAAAAUGUUAUAAUCUUGUACAAUGCACUGCAAGUGUCCUAUAAUUUUUGGGUACUGGGCAGAACAAUCCUUCAUCCGAAUUUUUGGUCAAACUUUUUCCAAUUUGGUUGUACACAAAUGAAUGCCGAACAAGAACAUGACUAUCAUACUAUGCUUUGCAAUGCAUUUUGGCUUAUGACGGUGAAUAAAAUAAUGGACCUCUUGGACACGGUGUUCUUUGUUCUAUGCAAAAAACAGAACCACAUCACUUUCCUACACGUACAGCAUCAUGUCUUGAGUGUUGGUAUUUUAUGGCUAAGUGCAAAAUAUUUCAUGGGACAGGAGUAUACUGUGACAUUUGUCUGUAACACGAUCGUCCACAUGAUUAUGUACUUUUAUUAUUUAGUUGCUGCGCUGGGCCCUGCAUACAAAAAAUAUCUUUGGUGGAAAAAAUAUUUGACAAUGAUCCAAUUGGUUCAGUUUGUGAUUGUAAUUGCCUACAUGGUCGCAUCUUUAUGGUUGAGUUGUGUAUACAAUCGUGCAAUUGUUUGGAUUAUAAUACUCAAUGCUUCACUCAAUUUGGUUUUGUUCCUCAAAUUUUAUUUCAAAACUUACGAUUCAAAAAAGCUGAUAAGUGAAAAAGUUACAGUUUGUGAAAAUGCUGAGUCGGAUGUUUAUGAAAAUUGUAAAAAAGAAAUAUAGGAAAAAUUCGACACAUGUGUGAGAGGAUCGAUGAAUUAGUACGAUUAAUGACGAUAACAAUGUAAUUGUGAGAAACCCGUAGGGCGAUUGCCAUUGAUAAUGACUAUGAAACGUAGUCGAAAUAUUUGGUAAUAAAUACUAAUGAAUGAGCACUACCGACUAAACUUCCUUUAAUU